AGUGAACGCUGGCGGUAGGCCUAACACAUGCAAGUCGAACGGCAGCACAGUAAGAGCUUGCUCUUACGGUUGGCGAGUGGCGGACGGGUGAGGAAUACAUCGGCAUCUACUUUUUCUGGGGUGAUAACGUAGGAAAACUUACACUAAUAGCUCAUACUACCUACGGGUGAAAGCAAGGGAGCUUGGGGCCUUUCGCGAUUGAAUUAGCUGGUGUCGGAUUAGCUAGUUGGGAGGGUAAGGGCUCACCAAGGCAACGAUGCGUAGCAGGGCUGAGAGGAUGAUCAGCCACACUGGAACUGAGACACGGUCCAGACUCCUACGGGAGGCAGCAGUGGGGAAUCUUGCACAAUGGGCGAAAGCCUGACGCAGCCAUACCGCGUGAGUGAAGAAGGUCUUCGGGUUGUAAAGCCCUUUUGUUAGGAAAGAACAUAAGUAUGUUAAUCUCUGGAUAUCCUGACGGUACCUAAAGAAAAAGCCCCGGCUAACUUCGUG
rnacentral:rRNA from 1 species